AUGAAUGAUUAGUCGGGAUUUGAACGUUAAUUGUUGGUUAUAAUUGUUGACGUAUAGAUCUAAUUGGGAAUUACCUUAAUUUUCGCAUGUUUGCACAUUGGGACACUGUGUAGCCCCCGAGGACAAUGUUAAUAGUAAGUUGCUUAGGUUCCAUAGCUUAUGGUGGCUGUGGAAUAGAAUGAUAACAAAUGUAGGAAAUUCAUAGUCUUUACAAUAGCAUGAUUUGAAGAAGAGGAUUCCGGGAGCCCUGGAAAAUGAUGUAUGGAGUCUAUGUGAUGGGUUAUCAGAGUCGGAAAAGAGGUGAAAUCGGUCUGUUAAUCCAUUGUCCGGUGUUCAAAUACAAUUGCCACAUCAAAAUACCACCGAACGUUAUCAAUCCAUCAAGGCUUUACAACCAUGGACCUUUAUACAUAAAGCAGUUCUGACAGCUAAUUCUUAUUGAUACGUCUGAUUACAUUCUCAUGGUAAUUGAGGGAAAACGUCCAGUCGCUCAGUUUAUGCAGACCCGGAGAUUUUUUAUGGACCGGGAUUAAAAAAUUGACCUAUCAAGGACAUAUCAAUGAUGUGUUAUAUUUCAGUGGCAACUUUUAUGCAAUCGGUUAUAGCGGCUAGGGAUUUAGGGGACAAAGCUUUUUUCUUGGGUGUGAUGCUUCUCUUUGGGUCCAAGCUUCUCAACUUCCGGGAAUCAAGCCCGAUCAUAGUUAUAUUACAGAUGAUUGUUUGAGUGCAUACCUCCAGUUUAAAGAAGGUGGCGGCUUGGACAUGGGGGUGUUCACCUUAGCUGAUGGCAGUAUCCAGCCACAUUAUAUGGUGUUCCCUCAGCCGCGUCUGUCCUCCAAUUUGGGUCACAUCAAAUCCUUGUUGAGCAUCCUUUGAUCCAUCAAAUCCAGUUACAUCUGUUGAUGUUCAUAAAAAAUUUGAAAAUCGUUCCUAGAAGCACAUGCAUUUGAAGGAAGCCGAUGCACUAAAGCUCUCGCUAUAUGCGGGUUUCGGGGAAGGGCAGAACCACAAGGGUUAGAAGCACAAACCUAUGACUCAAGUUAUCGUGGAUAUACAAGAAUGUAGCAUAAUUUGCAGCUACACAUCUAGCAUUGUAAAUGGCUGGUUGCUCGGAGCUUCCACAGUAUUUGCUGAGGUUGAUUGGUCAUUGUCUUGUUACAUAUACCAAGUCCAGUUCACAUGUGUUUGAACUUCAUGGAGGAAUUUUGGAUUUGUGGUGGAUUUUAGAUAUUCUGGAUGGGAACGAUGCAUAAGAGGAAGGUGAACUUGUUUGAUGUGUGGAUGACUCGUUGGCGUCAGCAAAGAAAGCCAAUGGAAGCUUAAAUGGUGUAAACAACAUGACGCCUUCGAUCAACAAGUGAUACGAAAUGCCUUACAGAGAUUCUAUGAAAUUUUGGGAAAGAGGAAGACUCUUCCCAUAUGGCAUCAAAAAGAGUAGUUCUCCAUCACCGGUUGUCAUCACCAGGUCUCCUAAAACCGAGGAACUGGUAGUGUCCCUCAAUGACCAUGACCGCAGGGUCAGAUAUAUGAGAAGAGGAUUAGCUGAUAGAUGUUCAUCGUUCUGAAGUCUUGUUGGGUCUAUAAUGUUCGGUGUUAUUCUGAUGUGGCAACUGGAUUUGAACACCGGAUAAUGGAUGCAACAGACUGAUUUCACCCUCUUCUCCAUCUGUGAUAAGCCAUUCCAUAGAUUCCAUACAUCGUUUUCCACUGGCUCCUGGAAUACUCUUCUUCAUAAUCAUGCCAUUAUAUAGACUGAAGAAUUUUCUACAUGUUUUAACAUCCUCGUCCUCAGCUAGCAUUAGCCAUGGAACCCUUGCCAAAUUACUAUUAACAUUAUCCUUGGUGGCCACAGAGUGCCACAAUCUGCGAACAGUGCGGAAAUUAAG